CCUGUUCGAGCGCCGUUGUACUACUAAGGCUCAGCCUUGCGAUGGAGAUCCUUUUUCGCAAGAGAAAGGGGUCCAAAACUCAUCGGCGUCUUGUACGAGUGUCCAGCGUAGCAAGUCUCUCGCUAAGGCAGAUCGAUACAAAGACGCCAGUUCAACGAACACUUGGCCUCGAAUCAGGUAGGGAUACCCGCUGAACUUAA
rnacentral:misc_RNA from 1 species